rnacentral:rRNA from 1 species
UCGUCAGCUCGUGCCGUGAGGUGUUAGGUUAAGUCCUGCAACGAGCGCAACCCCUGCGCGCAGUUGCCAUCAGGUGAAGCUGGGCACUCUGCGCGGACUGCCCGCGCAAGCGUGGAGGAAGGCGGGGAUGACGUCAAAUCAGCACGGCCCUUAUGUCCGGGGCUACACACGUGCUACAAUGGCCGGCACAGAGGGGAGCCACCCAGCGAUGGGGAGCGGAUCCCGAAAGCCGGUCCCAGUUCGGAUCGGAGUCUGCAACCCGACUCCGUGAAGUUGGAUUCGCUAGUAAUCGCGCAUCAGCCAUGGCGCGGUGAAUACGUUCCCGGGCCUUGUACACACCGCCCGUCAAGCCAUGGAAGCCGGUGGUACCUGAAGUCCGUGCCCGCGAGGAGCGGCCUAGGGUAAAACGGGUAACUGGGGCUAAGUCGUAACAAGGUAGCCGUA